CCACCCCUUAACUUUAAACCCCAAUAUUUGGAUUAGUUAACCCUAGGAGUAUAAAUGUAUAUUUACCUUUUUAAUGAAACAUUUUGGUCAUUUUCCUCUUUGUAGUCUAUUUUUGUGACCAAAAUUUUUUUAGUGCUAUCCUAGGAUAUUUCUUUUUUAGUCUCUUUAUCUUAUUUUGAAAAAGUAAUUUUCAUACCUUUAUUGCAAAUUCUUGAUUCUUAAAUAGAAAAAUGUAACCACUUAUCGAAACAUUCCCAUAGAUCUUAUGGUACAUUUGGAAGGCACGCAAUGAUAAGUUUUUUAAUGGAAAAGAGAUAUCACGAGUGGAUACUCUCCAGGUAGCUUCCAUUGAAGCGGGAUGCUGGAGAAAAGCCAACCUUCUUGAGGAGAGCGAGGAAGAGGAGCCACAGACUGUCCCUUCGUCUAGCUCGACUCUCCUUACGGACCCUCAACGCACGACCUGUCAAAUCGAUGCAUUAUGGACUGAGAAUGGCACGGUUAGUGGUUUAGGGUGGUUUUACAAGGAUCAAAUGGGAGUCGAGAGAUUUGGCCUCCAAGGAUGCCGGAAAAGCCUAUCGCCUCUCCAUGCUGAGAUGGAAGGACUCAUAUGGGCGAUGACAUGUUUGCGAGAUCUACCUUGCACCUUGAUUCAUAUAGAGACGGACUGUUCCGACUUGGUAGACAUGAUUGCAAAUCCUACCGACUGGCCAGCGUUUACCUCCGAGCUAGUCUCCUUUAAACGACUACAGGCCGAAUUCUCAGUUUUUAGCAUUGACCACAUACUCAGAUCCAGGAACUUGCGUGCGGAUUCUCUUGCGAAAGAGGCGAGAAAUAGUGGUGUACUCUUUUCCCAUAUAGAUCAGACUCAGCUGGACAGAGCGUCUCUUCGGAACGACUUAUGCCCGACUACCACUUGAUCUAAGAAGAUGGGCGUCGACAAAAAAAAAAAAAUAUAGAAAACUGUAACAUUCAGAUUGUACCGUGGAUAAAAAAGGAAACUGUAGUUAUUCUUUCUACGAGUUUGGCGUUGACGUCGAUAUCAGUUCAGAAUGAUGACGUGGCCAUGACUUUGAAGACAAUCUUAACAAUCCAGUAAUAAAAUGCCACGUGUUUUUGUCUGCUACAUUAGAUAUCGCCGUGUUACCUUCUUAAUGGCUGGAGAGUAGGACGAGGAGUCACGGACAACGAAAUAAAGAAAAAGGGACAAAACCUGAACAGAUAAAUAAAUAAUUAAGAGCGGCGUGGGUUAGCAAAAUCGUGGUCUCUUAUACUAAAAUGUAUCCAACUCCAAACACGUGGGCUUAACUUUUCGCCGUGUCGACGAUCCGACGGUACGUUCGUGCUUUUUAAAUUAGGUUGCUUUGCUGGUCUCGUGUCAAUAAUCCAAAGACGAUGCCUUUUAGUUUAUAUUUUAAAAUGCUGUCGUUAAAGAAAAUUGUUAAUAUCUCCGUUUCAUUUUAGUUAUCGUUUUAGAUUUAUGCACACAGAUUAAGAAAACAUAUAAUUUUAUAUAUUUCCAAAAUAAAAACACAAUUACCUAUACAACUAACCAUAUUUCAACUAAUAGAAAAAUAAAUUGAAGAAUCUAAUUAAUAAAUUUUGCAUUGAAACUUUAAAACGACAUUUAUUUUGAAACGAAAAGUUUUCCUUACGACGACAAUUAAAUCGAAAAGAAGGGAGUAUAAUACUUACUGCUUUGCUUAUAUAAGGAGAGGUUGUACAGUCCAUAGAGAUGCAGAAUUGCAUAUCAAACUCCAUGAGAUAGGGAAAGACGAGAAGGAGAAAGAUUGGUCGUCCAUUGUAUGGCGGCUUGACCACCGUACAUCUGGCUCGACGGUUGGACUUACUCUAAACCAUGGUAAAAGUGAUCUCAGGCUAAAACCAUACGGAGAAAGAGAAGAUCUUUUAGGCAUGGGUGGGAUUUUCGUGAUAAAGGUGGAAUAUUCACAUAUUUAGUUUAUGGUCGGAUUAUAAUAUAAUUAAAUCGGAUGAAAGUUUUGAUCAUGGAUUGCUCUGAAGUCUUAACUAAGUGGGGGAUGGUAUUCCAAUCUUGUAUCAAUGUGUACUUGGGGUUAGUAGUAUAAAGCAUAAAACAUCAAAGUAUUAGAAUAUUCUCCAUCUAUGUCUUGUUCAUCCGGCGUUAGUAAUGCAGAUUUGCUUCUCUAAAUGUGUGUCAAACGGCAAGUCAUUUUUUAUGGCUAUCAUGUAAUGCAGUAUUGAUUAGUUUUCCACUAGUUGUAUCGAUUGCGUUUUUAUGUUUA